GAGGGUAUGGCUUAGUUGUAGAGCACAUGCUUAGCAUGCACAAGGUCCUGGGUUCAAUCCCCAGCACCUCCA
rnacentral:tRNA from 1 species